AUGCACGCUGGCGGCGUGCCUCAUACAUGCCAGUCGAGCGAACAGACGAGGAGCUUGCUCCUCUGACGUUAGCGGCGGACGGGUGAGUAACACGUGGAUAACCUACCUAUAAGACUGGGAUAACUUCGGGAAACCGGAGCUAAUACCGGAUAAUAUAUUGAACCGCAUGGUUCAAUAGUGAAAGACGGUUUUGCUGUCACUUAUAGAUGGAUCCGCGCCGCAUUAGCUAGUUGGUAAGGUAACGGCUUACUAAGGCAACGAUGCGUAGCCGACCUGAGAGGGUGAUCGGCCACACUGGAACUGAGACACGGUCCAGACUCCUACGGGAGGCAGCAGUAGGGAAUCUUCCGCAAUGGGCGAAAGCCUGACGGAGCAACGCCGCGUGAGUGAUGAAGGUCUUCGGAUCGUAAAACUCUGUUAUUAGGGAAGAACAAAUGUGUAAGUAACUAUGCACGUCUUGACGGUACCUAAUCAGAAAGCCACGGCUAACUACGUG
rnacentral:rRNA from 1 species